AAAACAGUGACUAUUUUAGCUAUUUCAAAUAAUAUACUUAGCUCAUUUCUUGUCAAGGAAUUCUUGUCCUUGAAGAAUAACAAAACGUUCAACUGUUUAGUGCCUCAGUAUUGGUAUUUGGAAUGUUAAGACUGUCUUAAAAAAAUCUUCUGAUGUACGUUUAUAAACCAUUAGAAGGAUCCUCUAUCGAGCUAAACAUUAUUGUAUGGACAAUCGAACGUAAGAAUGCCAAGCGCAACUCUUUUGUCCCCUGUAGCAAGAACUUGCUCACAUCAUGAUUAUAAAAAAAACAAAAAAUGGGAUUAGGAAAUUAUGAAGGAUCUGCUAAAAUCUUGCGCAUUGAUCUACGUAUCGCGGGAAAAGAAGAAUUGUUCUGCAAAGCGUGAAUAGCCUGAUAUUCCCAGUUUUCUAACGUCUUUUGAGCAGCUUCCUUCUUUAAUGAAUUUGUAUAUGAUUGGGAUAAAGACGCUGUUCUCGUAGAAAACGUCGACGAAGAACUAGUUGUUGACAUACUUUAAUAAAUAUUCCGAAUGGACACAACCUUGAAGACUUGCCAAUUCGAAUUUCUCUGAUUUUACUGAUUCUUGCUGUAAAAAGUCUUAAAAAAUUCCAAUAAGCUAUAACACGCUUGAUUGUUCAAGCAAAGGAUUUGAGUUAUUUGUAGAAAUAGAAAUGUGCUUACUCGCCAUAGUUAUGAACAUCGCCAUGUUAGUCUAGGUC